CGUAUAUUAAAGUUGUUGCAGUUAAAAAGCUCGUAGUUGGAUUUGUGGCGUAUGGUGUGUUCCGGGCACUUGUUGUCUGAGUAACCUGCUGUUGCCAUCCUUGGGUGGAACCUGUGUGGCAUUAGGUUGUCGUGCAGGGGAUGCCCAUCAUUUACUGUGAAAAAAUUAGAGUGUUCAAAGCAGGCUUAUGCCGUUGAAUGUAUUAGCAUGGAAUAAUGAGAUAGGACUUUUUUACUAUUUUGUUGGUUUGCGUAAAGAGGUAAUGAUUAAUAGGGACAGUUGGGGG
rnacentral:rRNA from 1 species